UGGGAAUCUUCCUUAUGGUUUUCGAGCAAACACAUGGGUUGUCCCUCCUUUUGUUGCUGACAAUCCAGCUACUUUUCCUCCACUUCCCAUGGAAGAUGAGAAUUGGGGAGGAAACGGAGGUGGACAGGGAAGAGAUGGUAAGCAUGAUCAUAGGCCGUGGGCGAAGGAAUUUGCGAUCCUGGCUGCAAUGCCUUGUAAAACAGCGGAAGAAAGGCAAAUUAGAGAUAGGAAAGCGUUUCUACUGCACAGUCUAUUCGUCGAUGUAUCAGUUCUCAAAGCAGUUGCUUCCAUAAAGCAUCUAGUGGACAACAGCUCUAGUUGUACAAUUCCAUACGAGGAAAAAA
rnacentral:misc_RNA from 1 species